GAGUUUGAUCCUGGCUCAGAACGAACGCUGGCGGCGUGCUUAACACAUGCAAGUCGAACGUGAUCCGGAGCUUGCUCCGGUGAAAGUGGCGCACGGGUGAGUAACGCGUGGAUAAUCUGCCCUGGUAUCUGGGAUAACAUCUCGAAAGGGGUGCUAAUACCGGAUAAGCCUACGGUCUCUUCGGAGUCUGCAGGAAAAGGUGGCCUCUAUUUAUAAGCUACCGUAUCAGGAUGAGUCCGCGUACCAUUAGCUAGUUGGUGGGGUAAUGGCCCACCAAGGCUACGAUGGUUAGCUGGUCUGAGAGGAUGAUCAGCCACACUGGAACUGAGACACGGUCCAGACUCCUACGGGAGGCAGCAGUGGGGAAUUUUGCGCAAUGGGGGAAACCCUGACGCAGCAACGCCGCGUGAGUGAUGAAGGCUUUCGGGUCGUAAAGCUCUGUCAGAGGGGAAGAAAUGAGACUGGCUAAUAUCCAGUUUUCUUGACGGUACCCUCAAAGGAAGCACCGGCUAACUCCGUGCCAGCAGCCGCGGUAAUACAAGGGCGMMUUS
rnacentral:rRNA from 1 species